rnacentral:lncRNA from 10 species
GUUUGUUUUAGCAGUCUCACGAGCCAGCUGAAGACCUCAAACCACACAGUCCGAGCGUUGCUCUCAGCUACUCUUUCUUGGUUAUCCUCAACUCCUGCUGGUCCCCAAGUCUGGCAAUUCUACCUCCACUGCCUCUUCCCUACUCCAGAAGCAAGAGAACUGACCAUGACGGGAGUGUUCUUUUUGGAGCUGACAGUGCCACAAGAUGCCUUUGAGGUCUCUGGUCCUUGCAAAUGUCGAUAGUGACUGUCUUGGAUACUUUGCAGAAAUAUGGAAGCUCCUCUGCUGGGCAUGCUACAUGCAAUUUCCUGCCCUCCUUCUACUAUCUACUUGUUUCCAAUGCCUUGUUUGUAGACGUCUACAUUAACUCCUACUUUUGGAGUUUCACCACCUCUUUACAUAGUGUUUUUGAGAAGACCACAAAAUAGCUCCAGGUUGGCUCUGUCUCCUGCAGAGUAUGCAUCUGGUUCCCAGAAGAUGCUCAUUCCUCUUUGAACUGCCAACGCAGGGGAAUUAAGCUGCUUCCCAGAAGCAGCAGCAACUUGCCAGCUUCCCUACUAGAAAAGCAGUUUGGCAGCCUCUCCUACCUGCCCUCCACAUACUUUCACAGGACUCAAUCCCCUUUUUAGCCUCUCUCUUAUCUCAAGUUCUCUGUGAGGUUCCUGUGAAAUCUGUGUCCCUAGCCUGGAAGUGAAGAGGGUAGUAUCCUUACUUGUCUGUCUUCCUUGGUGGAACCAGGUUCACAAAAAAUGUCACUGCGAUUGAAUGUGAGCUUUCACUUUUAACACUCACAAGUGAUGUCAAAAUUCCUGAGAUAUAUGGCAGCCUGUGUCCCAGUUGCUUCCACAUUGCUGACAAGCAAGCCCUUUACUGAGAUCCCUGCUGUAAGCUGCAUUGAAGCCAAGCAUCAGCUGGUAUUUACUUCAUCCUCCAUCAGGCAUCAACAGAGCAUGGGACUGCAAGACAGAAAUAUUACUCUGAAAAUGUAGCUGGGACCACAGCCAACUAGUCUACCUAUCAGCCAGCUGCUGAGAGGAGCCUGCCAGUCAGCUGAAGGGUCAGUGCCUGCCUUUGACUUUGACUCAGCUGCUGAGGCUACAUGACUCAUCCGAGAGUAAGAUACUCAGGAGACCCAAUGGAGCCUCCUCCUUGAGCUUCAGCUGUAAAUAUCAGCCUCAGACCCUCAGCUUCCUGACUUGAUUUGGACAGCUGCCCUUGGCUCUACUGACUUACCCUAAAUUUUACCUUGGACCUCAGCUGGAAAAUUUACCCCUUUCUCCUUCUGAGGUAUAUAUUAAUAUUAAUAAUUACUUUUCUGACUCCUGCCUCCAUAGCGGAACCCAUAAGCAGGCUCCUGUCUAGGAACAGCCUGGUAAAGGGGUAGGAAAGCCAAACAUAGAAGGCUCCUGAGUUGUACUUUUCUGUAUGUCUCAGUCAGUCUUCUCAAACAUCUUUCAAGGUCAGAACUACAAUGACCAUUUUAUAUAAGAGGCAGUUGAGGUUCAGAAAGAAGUAGUGGGUUCCUGAGAUACUAGGAUUGCAAUAAGCAUUGAUAAAUUGGAUAAAUUGAUAAAUCUGAUAAAUAAACAAUUGGAUAAAUUGUUAACUGAAUGAGUCAGCUAAUAUGUGGCAGAAGCAGAAUGAGAAGCAAGAUCUGCCUCAUGCCAAGCUCUGAUUUUCCUGCUUUAUGCUGCCUCCUGCCUCCUCACCCCUUCUCUGUCUCCUGUACCAGGACUUACGGUCCUGUCCCAGGAAUAUGACUUUAUAACUCAAAUAUUUUUAGCUGUGGUACCCCCAAGCUUUAGCUCUAUGCCCAGGACUCUGAAGUUUUUCAUAUCCAAUGCAAUGAAUUUCAGAAAUUGCAAAAUGGCAAAGAUCUUUUGGGAUAUGACAUGCCUAUAAUUCCUCACACCAUAUAUAUCUGGAUCUCCAUAGAGACCAUCUCAUUUUCAUAAAAUUCUUUAAAAUUCAUUCAUUCAACAAAUAUUCAUGGAGAAGCAUCAUAGUGUGUUUGGGAAGAUUUAGGAUAGUAGUUGAGUGUAAAAGCUCUGGGGUCAAAUCACAUGGAAUCAAAUCUCACUUUACCCACGUAUUAAUUAUAUGACUUGGAGCAAUAUUAUUGACCUUUCUUGGGGACUUAUCCAUAAAUGGAAAUAAUAAUGGCAUCUUCCUCACAAUUUUUCUGUGAAAAUUUACUGAAUAAAUCAUUAUAUUCUCUGCCAGACUGGGACUACUUACCCACAUGCUGGUCAUUAAUAUUGUCCCAUAUGGAAUGUGUGCUCAAUUUAUUUAAUAACGUUCUCUCUCUCUUUUUUUUUUUUGAGACAGGGUCUUGCUGUGUCACCCAGGCUGGAGGGCAGUGGCACAAUCACAGCUCACUGCAGCCUUGAUUUCCUGGGCUCACGACAUCCUCCCACCUCAGCCUCACAAGUAGCUGGGACUACAGGUGUGCACUGCCAGACCUGGCUUUUUUUUUUUUUUUUUUUUUACUUUUUUAUAGAGUUGAGGUCUCAUCACUAUCUUGUCCCAGCUGAUCUAGAGCUGAGUUCAAGUGAAACUCCUGCCUUGGCCUUCCAAAGUGCUAGGGUUAUAGGUAUGAGUUACUGCGCCCAGCCAAUAACAUUCUUAAAAUUAACAACAACAAAAAAGCACCUAUAGCACUUACUGGGUCUUCACUCUAUUUUCAGACUUUCUUAACUCUUUGUUAGCUAAUGUAAUUAGCACGUCACCCCUAUGAGUUGCAUACCAUUAGUAUACCUGUUGUACAAAGGAGUGUGAGGAAGAGGCUCAAAGAAUAUAAUUUUCCCAAGAUGGCAUGGCUAGUAAGUAGGGCAGCAAGGGUGUGAUUUCAGACUGUCUGGCUGAGAGUCUGUCUCUGCUAAUCACUACCCUAUACCGUGUGAGGGAUGGGCAUGAGAAAUGAAAGACAAGGCAUGACUGAGCCACAUACAAAUCACUAAACAGGGUCAAAGAGUACCUUGAGUGAGAAAAGAAGCUUCCCAAAAGAUGCCGAGUUUGUUUGCAGCUUACAAAUGAGCUUUACAAAUGGGAAAGUGCUUUGGUUGGAGCCCUCUUCACAAAAGUAGAAGAACAUCAGAGGAACAGAGGCAGCUUCUCACUAGCUGGAGCGUGGAUUGUGAAGACCAGCAAAAAGAAGAGGGGCCAGUAUGGUAUGCAUGAGCUGGGUCACAAGAGAUCUUAGACACUGCAAGCAUCUGACUUUUUCCAGAAUUCCCUAGCAGAAGGACAAAAGGACAUUUGGGUCUUAGAGAGGUUUGUCCCAGCCCUAGUGGGGCAAGGAAGUUAUGGGGUAAGAUUGAAAAAGUAGACCCCAACAAAAGAAGUUCCUGUGAUAAAUCCUAAACCAAGGCAGAAGCAAAGAAAAUGGACAACAGUGGACAGGUAAGAGAGACAUUUGGGGGGUGCAAACCCCUCAAGUUUGAGUACGGAAAAGUUAAAAAAUAAAAUCUCUGUAUAGGUAAAAGGUGAGUUUCCUAGCAAAGCUAGAGCCUCAUAAUAAAAGAGCUUCAGGACAAGUACCUAACCACCAAUGGGGCCUGGCCACCAGGGUCAGAACAAGGAGAAAUGAUGGCCAUGGCCAGCAUGAGCCAUUCUGCAUGCCUCCCACAAGCACUGACCCUACCUACACAGUUCUCAGGCUGGAGCUGUGGGCCCCAAGGCUAAUAGCCCCAAGGCUUUACAUUGACCUAUGUAGCUGGGAAGGUGUGGGCUGAAUUGAAUUAACUGAGCAAUUUCUGAUUCUUAUUUUAGUGAAUAAAAAAUCAUAUAAUAAAAUUAAGCAUCAUUCAAAAUGAUUAAUGCUAGCAACUUCCCAUGAAGUCAUUUAACCUACUUGAUUUAGGGAAUCUGGAAAACUUUCACAAGACUAAUAUCAACAUAUGAGCAGUUUUCAUUAUCAUUAAUAAGAGUCUGUUAGGCAAGUAGUGCUCAAAAUGCUUUAUGCUUCAAAUAUUGAAAUAGACAGUAUCCUCAGAGAUGGCUUCCCAAGCCUCCACUCAUACAGGCUGCAUCAAGGUCACAUUCAGGACUGUAAGAAGACAUCCUCCCUAUUACUACAGAUAACAAAGGUUUUGCCGGUCACAGUAUUGAGUAUGGGGAACCUGCAGAGAUCAGAUUCAGCCAAACCAUUUCCUAAGGGGAAAGUCACAGAAAUUUGUUGACCAUAGGAGUAGUUGAGAAUUGAUAUCCCAGAUCAAUUUGGCUAAACCAAAUCUACUAUUUUUAAUAAUAAUUUGCUAAAUAUGAUAGGACACAGAACACACUGUCUUAAAAUAUGGCACCUUGGCAGGAGGUCGAGGCCAGCCUGGCCAACGUGGUAAAACUCCGUCUCUACUAAUAAUGCAAAAAUUAGCCGGGCGUGGUGGUGCACUCUUGUAGUCCCAUCUAUUAAGGAGGUUGAGACGGGAGAAUUGCCUGAACCCAGAAGGCAGAGGUUGCAGUGAGCUGAAAUCACGCCACUGCACUGCAGCCUGAGCUACAGAGAGAGACUCUGUCUCAAAAAAAAAAAAAAAAAAAAAAAAAGGCAUCUUGCAUACUGAGUAUUUUAAACUAAAGAAAAUUAAAAACACCCCAAAAGCAGGAAUGUCUCUCUGACCUUUUCUUACCUUUCUCCCCUAAAGUAUGCCAUAAAUUAAUUAUCUGGCCUUACCCUGAAAAUAGGCCAUAAGACCCCCAUUUCAGAAGGGUCCUCCCCAUACCUGGGGGAAAAGAGCAUCUGAAGACACAGCAACACCAAGAAGAAUCUGGACAAACAAGCAUUGCUGAGUGUCCCCUUGUUUAUUACCAUGAGAUUACAGCCUUUCGUCCUCCAAUUAACACUUCUACACAUCUGUUCACUCUUCAUCAAACCUAUUCGUAAAAAUAUACAGAUUUCCCUGUUUCUUUGAGUCUUCAUUUCUGAAGGCCUUUGUGUCACAUCAAAUUUGUAUUAAAUAAAUUUGUAUGCUUUUCUUUCAUUAUUCUGUCUUUCGUUAUAGGAGUCUCAGCCAUAAACCUAGCAACGGGCGAGAUAUUACUUUUCUCCUCUACGAAUGAGACAUUCCUUUGAAACACCAUACAUCAAACUUAUAAAAUGUUUUAUAUGUGGAUUUUAACAGCUAUUGGGAAUUCGCGGUCUCACUAUGUUUCUUGGAACUCCUAAGCUCAAGUGAUGUUCCCACCUCUCCCUCCCAAAGUGCUUGAAUUACAGGUGUAAGCUACAGUGCCUAGUCCCUUUUUCAUAUUUCUUUAGGUAUAUUUUUUCUGUCUAGCCUAUUUUAAGCAUUUCAAACAAAAAGCCGAUGUCAAUAUAGUAUUCAAAAAUGUAGAUGUUUAGAGGAAGUCAAGUAAAUGUACAGGGAGUGGCAAUGUCUUCCUUAUGAGUAGAGCAUCCACCUCAGAGCAAUCUUUGUCUUGCCUUUAUGUUGAGUUCUAGGAGAAUAAAUAAGCAGGAAGCAAAAAGGAGAGAAGUGGGCUGGAUCGCUGUGGUUCCUUCCUAGAGGAGGCAACAAAUAGGCAUUUGCUCAGAUCCUUAUAUUACACAAAAAGAUGAAUUCCUGAAGCCUGUGAAAUUAAAUAUUUUCAAAAAUAAAGCAAUGGAUCUCUAAAAUAAGUAUACGUUUAUUUUUACUCAACUUCUGCAGAGAGGACCUUUGAAGCUAAAAUUCAAUAGAAGAUACCAUAAAUUUAAAAAUUUAAAAAAAACACUUAAAACUAAAUAUCAUAUCUAAAAUAAAAAUGCAAAUUAAAAAGAUAAUGAUUUGGAAAUAUUAGUUUAUUAAUAUCUCUAUCAUAUACAAAUCUCAAGGUCGAUAUUUACAAGAUGACUAGUAACAUCGGUACUGAGCAUAACAUCAAGUGAAGACAGGGGCUCAAACAUUUUCCUGAAGGUAUUAACUACAUAAUUGCAUUCUUGGCAAAUGAGUCAUUAGACAAAUUGCUACAAAUAAACAAAAGCUAGAUACUUAUGUUUUAGGCAGUCUAGACAACCUGAUAACUUAAUGAACAUAAUUGCUGAAAACUAUUAAAAGUUCUUGGUUGAUUAUAGCAAAAAUUCUUUUUAAAUUGAUCAAUGAUAAUGAUUGACAAAAACAAAACGAAACAAAUACAAAACCUCAGGAUUGACAGAAGAAGUGGCAAAUCCUGUCUGGAGCAAAGAAAAUUCAAAACAGAUGUCAAAGAAUUCCCAUAGAUCGAGUUUCAAGCAAUGAGAUCUCUUGGUUAAAGAGCAAAACAAAACAUAUAUGGUGACAACGAGGUACCAUGCAUUAAGGGCAGGAAAAUCAACAUGGCCAAAUGUCCAAUAUUGGAAUUAUUCUUUAGGAGUAUAAGCUUGAAGAAACAAAUUUAAACUAUGUUUAUUUAAAAAAAAACACAUAGAAAAUAACCAACUAGACUUUUCAAAUCAUCAAACUAAGUUCUGGAAAUGGAACACAGUGAGUAAUUAAAAUUAGAAAAUGCAAUAUCUAAGUUGAACAGCUAAUUUAAAAAGCUGAAUAAAGAAUUAAAUAAUCAAAUGAUAGGAUCAAAUGAAAACUAUAAAAAAAUGAAGAACAGUAACAAAGACAGAAAAUUGGGGAGAAAUUUUAAUAAACAUGCAAGAUAAAAAGAUCUAACAUAAGAUCCAUUGGAGUUUCAGAGGAAAUGAGAUAAACUGAAAAUAAUCUAUUAGGAAGAACAGCUACAGUAGUCAAGAGAGUGUGAUAUUGGCAUGAAGAUAGGCAAAAUAAAGUUCAUAAAUAGACCCACACAAAUAUGGACAACUGAUUUUGGACAAAGAGCCAAAAGCAUCUUUAAGUGGAUUUUCAGAAAUUGCUGAUAAAACAGUCAGAUAACCACAUGCAAAAGUAACAACAAAAACUAAAAAAAAAAAAAAAAAAAAAAAAUGAAAAACUGUAGUUCAUACCUCCCAUCAUAUACAAUAAUCAAAUAGGCUGUAGGCCUACAUUUAAAACAUAAAACUAUAAAGCUUCUAGAAAGAAAACAUCAAAACAAAUGUUUAUGAUCUUGAGUUAGGCAAAAGUAUUUUAGUCACAACACUGUCAUGAGUUGAAUUGUGUCCCCACAAAAAAAAAAAAAAGUUGAUGUCCUAACCCCUAGUACUUCAGAAUGUGAUAUUACUUGAAAAUAAGGUCUUCACAUAGGUAAUCAAGUUAAAAUAAGUUCAUUAAAGGGAACUUAAUACAAUAUGAUUAGUGUCUUUGUACAAAGGGAAGAUGUGGAUAUGACAGAAAUGCACAGACAGAAGACAAUGAAGAGAGACAUAGGGAGAAUGCCAUGUGACAGCCAGGGAUGAGAGUGAUGCAUCCAAUAGUCAAGGGAUGCCAAAGAUGGCCAGCAAACUACCAGAAGCUAGGAGAGAGGCACAGAACAGAUUCUCUCUCACAGCCCUCCAAAGGAGCCGACCCUGUUGACACCUUGAUUUCAGACUUCUAACCUCCAUAACUGUGGAACAAUACAUUUUGGUUAUUUUAAGCCACUCACCUAGUUUGCGGAACUUUGUUACAGCAGUCCUAGGAAACUAAUAUUUAAUACAAAUACCAUAAACAUGAUCUAUACAUUAAAAAAUAACAAAAAAGAAAUACUGGACGUCAUCAAAAUUAAGAACCUGUGCUCAUCUGGGCGCAGUAGCUCAUGCCUGUAAUCCCUGCACUUUGGGAGGCCAGGUGGGCAGAUCACCAGGUCAAGAGAUCAAGACCAUCCUGGCCAACAUGAUGAAACUCUGUCUGUACUAUAAAUACAAAAAUAAGCUGGGCGUUAUGGUGGGUGCCUGUAAUCCCAGCUACUCGGGAGGCUGAGGCAGGAGAAUCACUUGAACUCGGGAGGUGGAGGUUGCAGUGAGCCAAGAAAUGAGAACAUAUAAAUAUACAAGAACUUGUAUCUGAAUGCUCAUGCAACUUUAUUUGAAAUAGCCCAAAACUGAAAACAAUCUAAAUGUGAAAAACUGCUCAGUGCAAAACCAAAUUGUUAUAUAUAACUAUACAGUGGCAUACUACUCAGCAAUAAAAAGGAAUGGACUGUUUUCAUAUACAACAACAGUCUUAAAUAAUUAAGCAGAGUGAAGGUAGAAACCUGGCAAAAUUUAUAUACUGCAUGCCUUCAUUUUUAAAUAGUCAUCCACAAUGCAC